UAAUACAGAGGGUGCGAGCGUUAAUCGGAAUUACUGGGCGUAAAGGGCGCGUAGGCGGUUAUGUAAGUGUGAUGUGAAAGCCCUGGGCUUAACCUAGGAAGCGCAUCGCAAACUGUGUAGCUAGAGUAGAUGAGAGGGUGGCGGAAUUUCCGGUGUAGCGGUGAAAUGCGUAGAGAUCGGAAGGAACGUCAAUGGCGAAGGCAGCCACCUGGCAUCAUACUGACGCUGAGGCGCGAAAGCGUGGGGAGCGAACAGGAUUAGAUACCCUGGUAGUCCACGCUGUAAACGAUGAGGACUAAAGGUUGGUAGGGGAACCUAUCAGUCUUGAAGCUAACGCGAUAAGUCUUCCGCCUGGGAAGUACGGCCGCAAGGUUG
rnacentral:rRNA from 1 species